rnacentral:tRNA from 1 species
AUUCAUAUAGUUUAUAAAAACAUUUUAUUUUCAUUAAAAAAAAAGAUUAACUCUUAUGAAUU